rnacentral:pre_miRNA from 2 species
GUAAUAUAAGAUACAAUCUCUUAGCUUUUAACUAAAAAAACUGUGAAACGUCUAUUAAAUAAGAAAUAUACGAAACGUAUCUUAGUUUUUUUAGUUAAAAGCUAAGAGAUUGUAUCUUAUAUUAC